ACUCAAAGGAAUAGACGGGGACCCGCACAAGCAGCGGAGCAUGUGGUUUAAUUCGAAGCAACGCGAAGAACCUUACCAAGGCUUGACAUCCCCUUGACCGGUGCAGAAAUGUACCCUCCUCUUCGGAGGCAAGGGUGACAGGUGGUGCAUGGUUGUCGUCAGCUCGUGUCGUGAGAUGUUGGGUUAAGUCCCGCAACGAGCGCAACCCUUGUCCUUAGUUGCCAUCAAGUGAAGUUGGGCACUCUAAGGAGACUGCCGGUGAUAAACCGGAGGAAGGUGGGGAUGACGUCAAAUCAUCAUGCCCCUUAUGUCUUGGGCUACACACGUGCUACAAUGGUCGGUACAACGGGGAGCGAAAGAGCGAUCUGGAGCGAAUCCCAAUAAACCGAUCCCAGUUCGGAUUGUAGGCUGCAAUUCGCCUACAUGAAGUCGGAGUUGCUAGUAAUCGCGAAUCAGAACGUCGCGGUGAAUGCGUUCCCGGGUCUUGUACACACCGCCCGU
rnacentral:rRNA from 1 species